UACAGAGGUCUCAAGCGUUGUUCGGAUUCAUUGGGCGUAAAGGGUGCGUAGGCUGGCGCGUAAGUCGGGUGUGAAAUUCGUGAGCUUAACUCCGAAACUGCAUUCGAUACUGCGGUGCUUGAGGACUGGAGAGGAGACUGGAAUUCAUGGUGUAGCAGUGAAAUGCGUAGAGAUCAUGAGGAAGACCAGUGGCGAAGGCGGGUCUCUGGACAGUUCCUGACACUGAGGCACGAAGGCCAGGGGAGCAAACGGG
rnacentral:rRNA from 1 species